rnacentral:rRNA from 1 species
CCUACGGGGGGCAGCAGUCGAGAAUCAUUCACAAUGGGGGAAACCCUGAUGGUGCGACGCCGCGUGGGGGAAUGAAGGUCUUCGGAUUGUAAACCCCUGUCAUGUGGGAGCAAAUUAAAAAGAUAGUACCACAAGAGGAAGAGACGGCUAACUCUGUGCCAGCAGCCGCGGUAAUACAGAGGUCUCAAGCGUUGUUCGGAAUCACUGGGCGUAAAGCGUGCGUAGGCUGUUUCGUAAGUCGUGUGUGAAAGGCGCGGGCUCAACCCGCGGACGGCACAUGAUACUGCGAGACUAGAGUAAUGGAGGGGGAACCGGAAUUCUCGGUGUAGCAGUGAAAUGCGUAGAUAUCGAGAGGAACACUCGUGGCGAAGGCGGGUUACUGGACAGUAACUGACGCUGAGGCACGAAGGCCAGGGGAGCGAAAGGGAUUAGAUACCCUAGUAGUC